CUUGCCUUGUUGUUUAUUCACCUGAUCUCCUAGGCUAGGUUAGUUAUCUGGGGGAGUUGGGGUUUAUCUGGGAUAUGGUACCGUCAGUAUUUUAUGAUGGAGAUUAAGGUUUUUUCACUAUCUGGAAUAUUAUACUGUCAGUCUUUACGAUGGAGAUUCAUGUUUUCUCAGUACAUUUCAUUCGCUAAUCAGUGUUUCGACUCUGUUUAUCUCGUUUCAUUUUAAUGGUUUGGCUACAGUUCUUAGAUCCGACUACUCUACAGGAUAAAGGUCAAGGCUUCACCCAUUGGUUCCAC